UACAUGGGGUGCAAACGUUGCUCGGAAUUACUGGGCGUAAAGCGCACGUAGUCGGCUUUGCAAGUCGGGUGUGAAAUCCCCGGGCUCAACCUGGGAACUGCAUCCGAGACUGCAUUGCUAGAGUAUGGGAGAGGGAAGCGGAAUUUCUGGUGUAGCAGUGAAAUGCGUAGAUAUCAGAAGGAACAUCAGUGGCGAAGGCGGCUUCCUGGACCAAUACUGACGAUCAGGUGCGAAAGCGUGGGGAGCAAACAGG
rnacentral:rRNA from 1 species